AUUGAACGCUGGCGGAAUGCUUUACACAUGCAAGUCGAGCGGCAGCGCGGGGCAACCUGGCGGCGAGCGGCGAACGGGUGAGUAAUACAUCGGAACGUACCCAGUUGUGGGGGAUAGCCCGGCGAAAGCCGGAUUAAUACCGCAUACGACCUGAGGGUGAAAGGGGGGGAUCGCAAGACCUCUCGCAGUUGGAGCGGCCGCUGGCGGAUUAGAUAGUUGGUGAGGUAAAGGCUCACCAAGGCGACGAUCCGUAGCGGGUCUGAGAGGACGACCCGCCACACUGGAACUGAGACACGGUCCAGACUCCGACGGGAGGCAGCAGUGGGGAAUUUUGGACAAUGGGGGCAACCCUGAUCCAGCCAUUCCGCGUGAGUGAAGAAGGCCUUCGGGUUGUAAAGCUCUUUCGGCAGGAACGAAACGGUGGAAGCUAAUAUCUUUUACUAAUGACGGUACCUGAAGAAGAAGCACCGGCUAACUACGUGCCAGCAGCCGCCGUAA
rnacentral:rRNA from 1 species